rnacentral:rRNA from 1 species
GACAAACCGGAGGAAGGUGGGGACGACGUCAAGUCAUCAUGGCCCUUACGGCCUGGGCUACACACGUGCUACAAUGGGCAGUACAGAGGGCAGCGAGGUCGCGAGGCCAAGCAAAUCCCUUAAAACUGUUCGUAGUCCGGAUUGGAGUCUGCAACUCGACUCCAUGAAGUCGGAAUCGCUAGUAAUCGUAGAUCAGCAUGCUACGGUGAAUUUGUAUCUAAGCCUUGUACACACCGCCCGUCAC